rnacentral:rRNA from 1 species
GAUGAACGCUGGCGGCGUGCCUAAUACAUGCAAGUCGAGCGAACGGACGAGAAGCUUGCUUCUCUGAUGUUAGCGGCGGACGGGUGAGUAACACGUGGAUAACCCACCUAUAAGACUGGGAUAACUUCGGGAAACCGGAGCUAAUACCGGAUAAUAUUUUGAACCGCAUGGUUCAAAAGUGAAAGACGGUCUUGCUGUCACUUAUAGAUGGAUCCGCGCUGCAUUAGCUAGUUGGUAAGGUAACGGCUUACCAAGGCAACGAUGCAUAACCGACCUGAGAGGGUGAUCGGCCACACUGGAACUGAGACACGGUCCAGACUCCUACGGGAGGCAGCAGUAGGGAAUCUUCCGCAAUGGGCGAAAGCCUGACGGAGCAACGCCGCGUGAGUGAUGAAGGUCUUCGGAUCGUAAAACUCUGUUAUUAGGGAAGAACAUAUGUGUAAGUAACUGUGCACAUCUUGACGGUACCUAAUCAGAAAGCCACGGCUAACUACGUG